UACGGAGGGAGCUAGCGUUGUUCGGAAUUACUGGGCGUAAAGGGCGCGUAGGCGGCCUUCUAAGUCGAACGUGAAAUCCCCGGGCUCAACCCGGGAACUGCGUCCGAUACUGGAAGGCUUGAAUCCGGGAGAGGGAUGUGGAAUUCCAGGUGUAGCGGUGAAAUGCGUAGAUAUCUGGAGGAACACCGGUGGCGAAGGCGACAUCCUGGACCGGUAUUGACGCUGAGGCGCGAAAGCCAGGGUAGCAAACAGG
rnacentral:rRNA from 1 species